rnacentral:rRNA from 1 species
CCCUUAGAUGUUCGGGGCCGCACGCGCGCUACACUGAUGCGUUCAACGAGUUUUUAGCUUAUCUGAUAAGAUUGGCUAAUCUUCUGAAAACGCAUCGUGAUGGGGAUAGAUUAUUGUAAUUAUUAAUCUUCAACGAGGAAUUCCUAGUAGGUGUGAAUCAUCAGUUCACGCCGAUUACGUCCCUGCCCUUUGUACACACCGCCCGUCGCUCCUACCGAUUGAGUGAUCCGGCGAAUAAUUCGGACCGGUGAGCUUCCAGGUUUACCUGGCUGCUUGCUGGAAAGUCUAGUGAACCUUAUCACUUAGAGGAAGGAGAAGUCGUAACA